rnacentral:rRNA from 1 species
CCUACUGGAGGCAGCAGUGGGGAAUAUUGCACAAUGGGGGAAACCCUGAUGCAGCGACGCCGCGUGAGUGAGGCAGUAUUUCGGGAUGUAAAGCUCUAUCAGCAGGGAAGAGAAUGACGGUACCUGACUAAGAAGCCCCGGCUACCUACGUUCCAGCAGCCGCGGUAAUACGUAGGGCGCAAGAGUUAUCCGGAUUUACUGGGUGUAACGGGAGCGUAGGCGGGUAAUUAAGUCAGUAGUGAAAACCCAGGGCCCAACCUUGGGACUGCUGUUGAUACUGAGUGGCUAGAGUGCAGGAGAGGUAAGCGGAAUUCGUAGUGUAGCGGUGAAAUGCGUAGAUAUUAGGAGGAACACCAGUGGCGAAGGCAGCUUACUGGAAUGUAACUGACGUUGAGGCUCGAAAGCGUGGGGAGCAAACAGGAUUAGAUACCCGAGUAGUC